rnacentral:rRNA from 1 species
AACGAACGCUGGCGGCAGGCUUAACACAUGCAAGUCGAACGCCCCGCAAGGGGAGUGGCAGACGGGUGAGUAACACGUGGGAACGUACCCUUUACUACGGAAUAACGCAGGGAAACUUGUGCUAAUACCGUAUGUGCCCUUCGGGGGAAAGAUUUAUCGGUAAAGGAUCGGCCCGCGUUGGAUUAGCUAGUUGGUGGGGUAAAGGCCUACCAAGGCGACGAUCCAUAGCUGGUCUGAGAGGAUGAUCAGCCACAUUGGGACUGAGACACGGCCCAGACUCCUACGGGAGGCAGCAGUGGGGAAUAUUGGACAAUGGGGGCAACCCUGAUCCAGCAAUGCCGCGUGAGUGAUGAAGGCCUUCGGUUGU